rnacentral:lncRNA from 1 species
GCUCGCUGAUGGUGCUCUUUUCCUCGGAGCGGUCGUCAACCACGCCGUCGUCGAUGGCACUUCCUUGUGGAACUUCUUCAACGCCUGGGCUGAGAUAUGUCGUGGCGGCAUCCCCGCGUCGCCGGACCUCCGCCGUAACUACUUCGGUGACUCAAAGGCUGUGCUACGAUUCCCAAGCGGAGCCGGGCCCGAGGUGACGUUUCAGAUGGACGCGCCGCUUCGAGAGAGGAUCUUUCGCUUCAGCCGCGAGGCAAUUUUCGACCUAAAAUCGAGGGCCAAUCGCCAGAGUCCCAAGCUCGUUGACGAUGGCAACGCCCUGGCUGGAAUACAUGAGGAACAGAUCCCGGACGGAGAGUCAGAGGCGUUGGCGGCGGUGGUGAAGGAGGACGAGAUCUCGUCAUUCCAAUCCCUCUGUGCUCUGGUCUGGCGGUCCGUGACAGGAGCUCGAAAGCGGCUGGCCAUGGAAGCG